UCUAGUGUUAUAUUGCCUACUUUUUUAAAAGUAAAAUUAAUCAAAUUUUAAUUAUAUACUUACUCAAGGUUGUUUUUUAUUUUUUUAGACUUAAGUGAUUUUUUUGAAGAACAGGAGUAGUUAUACUAUGUUGUUUGAAAAACUACCAAGAAGGAAAUUUACAAUCAAAAACAGUUGGAUUUUCCUGAAGGACACAUUUCUCAAAUCUCUCAGACCUAGGUUGUGUGACAGUCCUGAUGACUGAGGAAAUGAUCCCCUAAGAGUGCACAAUUCCAAAAGUGAACAAAACAUGGUUCCUGCCCUGAUGGAACAUGCAUUUUUGUCGAGGAAGAUUAAUUCAUGCAAGAAUGAAUAUAUAAUUUCAGGUGCUAAGAGAGCUUCAGAGCAUUGAGUAAUAAGGAAGGAACACUCUGGAAAUUGUGUGGAGAAUGGGAUCCCGGAAUCAAGAAAGAAAAACAGAAUGAGUUAAGUAACUCUCCUGAUAACAGACUAUCAUGGAUUCAUGGAUUAAACAUCAUUAAGCUUCAGUCACGAUGCUGCUGCAAAUGCCGGUAAUUCAGCCUUUCAUUAACUUCACUGAGCUAAAUACAUUUUCAAGAAAGAAGUCUUAAAAAGACCAUGACAUGAAAGCAAAAUGAAUUUUAACAUGCAAAUCUGUUUAA